AUCUAUGGCCAUACCACCCUGAACACGCCCUAUCUCGUCUGAUCUCGGAAGAUAAGCAGGGUCGGGCCUGGUUAGUGCUUGGAUGAGAGAAACCCAAGCCUAUAAUAACUU
ensembl:rRNA 5S_rRNA 5S ribosomal RNA